GCAACUUAGCAUUGAUUAUUUUGUAUUUAUUUAUCCAUUUCAAAUAACCAAAUUCAUAGUUUAAGAUCAUCACCAUAUAUGUUAGAUAAAGAGAAGAAAACUGCAAGCAUCUUUUUAAUUAUUCCGCAUAUAAUUUGCAACAGUAGCUGAAACCGAGUCCAGAAUCCGGGAAGCAGAAACCAGUUUCCACCAGGGCAUCUCAACUUCUCCUCCUCGCCACAAAGCCGCCCUCACAGCCAAGAGGAAAAUGAAGAACGAGCCCAAAAACAAAGCGACCUUGUCGAAGGCAGGCCACCUACAAAGUUAGCCAUGAAAAAUAGGGGGAUAUAUCGUGUGUGGAUGUGUAUAGAGGUGGUGGUGGUGGUGAUGUUGGUGGGAGGAACGCAGGUGGAGCCCAGGGAACCAGUGGUGCCAUAUCCCAUCAUUCUGACUCAUCAUCGGGGGAGAGCAAACAUCAUUUCUUUAUCUGAUGGCAUGCAAAAGAGGCAUCGGCAAAACGGGCAGUUCCAUGUUUUAUGGGCCACUCCGCCCAUCAGUUUCGUUGGGUGUCCAAAAGGGCUGUCUUCCGCAUUUCCAGGUUGAUUCAUUUGAAUGGCCACCACCACCACCACCACCACCACCACACCAGAUGCAAACAGCACGAUUUGUCAUUCAGUCGAGAAAUACAACAAACAAAUACAAAGCAAGAAGAUGGGGGAGAGCAAAUAGUGUCAUGUUUGGCAUUCAAAGACACACAACUUCUAUUAUUAAUACAAAAUGGAAAAUAGCGAGCAAAAGAAUUAUGAAAUAUUCCUAUAUAAGAUCAAAACUCGUUGAUGAGCAACUGGUAUCAUCUGUAUCAUCAUCUUAAUCUUACCGCCUGGCGUGCCAAGCAAACAGUCCAAGCGAAAAAAGCAUCAAAUUCAAAGCGAUAUACCAUAAAUGAAUGAAAAGAUAAUGGUGCCGUUCCGGAGAAGUUCAAAACCGCCUGGAAGCAAGGUCCCACACAAUUGCGAGUGGCAACCAAAGCCAAAGCCAAAGCUCAUUAGGUUUACGGCUAAUAUAUAUUAUAAUGAGUAUGAGUAUGAGUAUCGCCUUAUAAUAGGCACUCUGGUGGCUGCCCUCGUCGCGGGGACGUGGGAAACUUUCCAUCUAUUCAUCUUUUGUCGCAUAGAACACCACGGCGACGAUGAUCGCCAAAGUCAACGGCUGAUGAGCGCCAACAGAGCGAAACCGGUGUUAUGCAAGCGAAACACUCGCCAAAACGCCAAAACAUGCCCCCUUAUUUGGCUUAGUGUAUUCAUACGGCUUCUAAUUGAUCGUAUUUAAAUCCAUUUCAAAAUGUUCCAGCAAUCAAUAUGUAUAUUCUAUCUAUAUAACCAGGAGACUGUA